UGGCACCUAUAUUUAUAUUUACCUGCCAUCUUUUAUGGUAGUGGGGCUUAAGAUGGUGCAUAGAGGAAAUGCUGCUCUUGUAGUAGCGGCGGCCAGACAACCGCUGAGAGAUAGAUCCACAGAUGAACAAUCUUUCUGCUGUUUGUCUACUAAUUCUAUCUCACAUUC
rnacentral:snoRNA from 1 species